rnacentral:rRNA from 1 species
UACCGCAUACGCCCUGAGGGGGAAAGUGGGGGACCGAAAGGCCUCACGUUAUACGAGCAGCCGAUGUCUGAUUAGCUAGUUGGUGAGGUAAAGGCUCACCAAGGCGUCGAUCAGUAGCGGGUCUGAGAGGAUGAUCCGCCACACUGGGACUGAGACACGGCCCAGACUCCUACGGGAGGCAGCAGUGGGGAAUUUUGGACAAUGGGCGCAAGCCUGAUCCAGCCAUUUCUUUUUGUCUGAAGAAGGCCUUCGGGUUGUAAAGGACUUUUGUCCGGGAGCAAAUCCUAGUGGUUAAUAACCGCUGGGUCUGAGUUUUACCGGAUGAAUAAGCACCGGCUAACUACGUGCCAGCAGCUGCGGUAAUACGUAGGGUGCAAGCGUUAAUCGGAAUUACUGGGCGUAAAGCGUGCGCAGGCGGUUGUGCAAGUCUGAUGUGAAAGCCCCGGGCUUAACCUGGGAACGGCAUUGGAGACUGCACGACUAGAGUGCGUCAGA